rnacentral:rRNA from 1 species
AGAGUUUGAUCCUGGCUCAGAUUGAACGCUGGCGGCAUGCUUUACACAUGCAAGUCGAACGGCAGCACGGGAGCUUGCUCCUGGUGGCGAGUGGCGAACGGGUGAGUAAUGCACCGGAACGUACCCAGUAAUGGGGGAUAACACAUCGAAAGAUGUGCUAAUACCGCAUACGCCCUGAGGGGGAAAGCGGGGGAUCGUAAGACCUCGCGUUAUUGGAGCGGCCGAUGCCGGAUUAGCUAGUUGGUGGGGUAAAGGCUCACCAAGGCGACGAUCCGUAGCUGGUCUGAGAGGACGACCAGCCACACUGGGACUGAGACACGGCCCAGACUCCUACGGGAGGCAGCAGUGGGGAAUUUUGGACAAUGGGCGAAAGCCUGAUCCUGCCAUGCCGCGUGAGUGAAGAAGGCCUUCGGGUUGUAAUUCUCUUUCGCAAGGAAAGAAAACUUACCUACUAA